rnacentral:rRNA from 1 species
GUAGUCUCGCACAGACGCAUAUCAAUAAGCGGAGGAAAAGAAACUAACAAGGAUUCCCCUAGUAACGGCGAGUGAAGCGGGAAGAGCUCAAAUUUGAAAUCUUAAAGGGUUUCCCUUUACGAAUUGUAGUUUAAAGAAGUGUUUUCUGUUGAGGUUUUGGUAAAAGUUCUUUGGAAUAGGACAUCAUAGAGGGUGAGAAUCCCGUAUUUGACCUUUACUUUCAACUUUGUGAUACACUUUCAAAGAGUCGGAUUGUUUGGGGAAUGCAGUCCAAAAUGGGUGGUAAAUUUCAUCUAAAGCUAAAUAUUGGCGAGAGACCGAUAGCGAACAAGUACCGUGAGGGAAAGAUGAAAAGAACUUUGAAAAGAGAGUUAAACAGUACGUGAAAUUGUCAAAAGGGAAGCGUUUGACACCAGUGUUGUUUUUCUGAAAAUCAGUUAAAGAACUGUUUAUGCUAAGCUGUUUAGACUUUAUCAGCUAUCUGUUUAGUUUUGAGCUUUUCUUUAGUGCACUUUUCAGUUAACAAGUCAACAUCAAUUUCUUUUGCUGUAAAAAAGCUUGAGGAAGGUGGCUUGAGAUUCGUCUUAAGUGUUUAUAGCCUCUUGCCUAUGCAGUCGGAGAGAUUGAGGUCUGCAGCGUAGAUCCUUCGGGGCUAAAUGCAUUUGUGCUAAGUUAUAGCAUUUCAUAGACAACUUGUUGACUAUGAUUUGUCUCGUAGCUUACUCGCUUAUGUUAUUUUACCUACGCUUAGGAUGUUGACAGCAGUAUAGACUGU